AAGCCCCAGUUUUUUAUUAUUAGAUUCAACAGCUAACAGAUAUAAAACAUCUCUGCCAAAUUGCUAUAAAAGUUUAUAAACUCUUACUUUUAAUGUCUUUUCUUACCUCUUUUUAGGGACAAAACAGCCCCGCAAGGACAGGGUCAGAGGAGUGAACGCCCCAAGCUUCCUCUCCUCCCUCCUUCCCUCCAUCUCCUACCAAUCCCCACCAUCCAGACCCAAUCAGAAACCAGACAACAGAGGAGACUGGUCACAGAGCCCCUGCUGGGCAGCAGCCCAGGGCAGUGAGCAGAAUGCAGAAGGGAGGGGGGCGCAGGAGGACAAAAAGUGACAUCAGAGGUCCCAACCCAAGAUCCUCCAGAAGCCCAUUUUCUACCCUGUCCUCCUGUCCUCCAAUAUCCUUCCUAUCCAGACCAAAUUACACAUAGUCCUCAACCCACCCAACCCCACUGCAUCCCUUUACACAUACUGUCCUCCAUGCCCGAGAAGUUUCCACUCCUCUGCUCAAGGCUAAAUCUUCCUCGUGUUUCACGACCACAGAAGUCAUCACGAUUUGGGGUGCUCAGAACAUCUGUCUACCAAUCUCCUUCUUUCGUAGCAAAUCCCACUCCUGUAAAUAGGAAGUGGGCACAUGGCCAAAAUGUAGCUGGUUCAUUCAGUUAACAAAUAUUUACUGAGAAUUUACAAUGUUAUGUUCUAGGUCAUACUGUUCUAGGUACUGCUAAUAUGGCACUGAACAAAGAGCACUGGUUCGGACAGGGGAAACACAGUUAUUUGUUUAUCUCCUGAUAAUCAUAAUCCUUCCCCUAGAACUGGUCUCUGGACAUUGAGAAAGCCAAGUUCUCUUUUCCACUAGGGAGGCAAAGCCAGGAGGACAUGCAUGAAGCCCUCUCCUCUGGCCACAGUGACAAAGCUUGUUUGUGACAGAGAGUGACUCAGAGGGGGAAAGAAUUGAGAGAAAUGAUAGAAAAAGGAAAGCCCCUAGAUUAUAUCAUUGGAUUCCUAGAUCUGGCCACACCUGAAGCGUACACCUGAAUUUCCCAGUUACAUGAGCCAAUAAGUUCUCCUUUUUUCCAUUAGGCUUAUUUGGGUUGGAUUUCUGUCACUCAGAACCAAAUGAGACCUGGCUGAUACAGGGACUCAACUCAAACUUUACCUUCUGGAUAUUUUCCCUGAGUGCCUGGUAUAAAUCAACGGCAUAUUCUGAAUGCUAUAACCACUUACAGAUGAGACAUCUAUCUUGGCUUCUCAUAUAAAUAACCAAACAGUGAAACUAACACAACUUUUUAAGUCAACUAUAUUCCAAUAAAGUUUUUAAAAAUUAAAAAUUAAAAAAGAAUCAAACAGAACCCAUUGAACACAAUAGCUUUCAACUCAGAAUCCCCAGGGCCUGUGUAUCUUAGAUGCCCCAAAAUGUUUGUGGGAGUGAUAAUGAAUUCUUACAGCUAGUGAAGCUCUAAAAACAAGUGUAUAUCCAAGAGUGCACACCUAACAUUUGUGCGGUGAGGGACUGAUUGAGAUCAAGAGAGACUGAAUACAAACGGCCUUCUAGGAUCUAAAUUGACCAGGGGGCCCAGGAGAGUGUCAGUGACUUGUCCUCAGUCACACAGCCAGUGGGAGGCAGACCGAGAGUUCAAACCCAAGCAGGCUGGGUCCAUAUCUGUCCUUUUAGCUACUUCCCUACAUGGGCUAAUCUGUUAUGCUGGCAAUUUCCCACUGCUGAAAUGGGGCAGGGAGAUGAGUGGUGUCAAGUAAUGAAAUCCACCUGACCUCUUAGAACAAAGAUAUUGGAAAGCCUUGUCAUGACCCCAUGUCUCCCAGACAAGCAGGAAUUUCUAGUCUAAAGGAAGGUGUGUUUCUGAGCGAUCAUUCAACUACUGGGAGUUAAUGACAACAAUCACAGCCAGUCUAUGUGCCAAACUGCUAAAAGCUGUAUGUGGAUUCAUUUCAUGCUUGCCUUAACUCUGUGAAGCAGGUAUUAUCACACACUCUACAAGUGACAAAAUGGUGAUGAAAAUGCUUGAGUGGGACCCUAUAAGGCACUAUUCAGUGAGAGAGCCAGGACCCGAAUCCUGGUCUGUGGCUCCAAAUCCCGUGUCCUGAUCAGCUCUUCCUGGACGAGAAGAUGUGAAGCCAGCUUGUACCAGGACGGCUGCAGGGUUUCUGCCUUUCUGCACCUGCGUCCCACAGUGGGCCUGGGCGUGGCCCCAAAUUAUACCUGAGGGAUGCAAUUACAGGCAUUUUACUGCUUGCAAAUAUAGGAAGUUAUGAUUUCAUCUAGAGUUGUUCACAACAUGCGCUACUCUGGGGAAGUUACUUUUUAAAAAUAAAUAUUGGGGGAGAAAACUGCUCAAUAUUUCACCAUCUGUGUUUCUCAACUGUCUCCUGUGACCUUUCUACCUAUCUGUUGCAAAGUAUUAACCUUGACUUUCUCCAGCAUAUAGACAAGCAAUCCCCUUAGCUACUUGGCAGUAGUGAGACCUGGUCAUCCAUACUUUUGGAAAUCAUCUUACCCAAAGCAUUGCUCUUGUUCCUUUCUUCCCUGAAAUGAUGACAAUGAGGCUAUCCCAAAUGAAAUUUUCAUCUGUGGUCUUAAGGCACAAAAGGGGGCCUUUGCUUCAAAAUUAGACAGGAGUUAUUCAGUGCAUGAAAAACAAUCAGAGAAGCUACUUUAAAGUGUGCAUUAUAGGAGUUCUCCUUGGUGCUCAGCAGUAAUGAGCCCAACUAGUAUCCAUGAGGUUUUGGGUUCGAUCCCUGGCCUUGCUCAGUGGGAUAAAGAUCCAACAUUGUCGUAAACUGUGGUGUCGGUUGAAGAUGCAGCUCGGAUCUGGCAUUGCUGUGGCUGUGGCAUAGGCCAGCAGUUGCAGCUCUAAUUCAACCCCUAGCCUGGGAACUUCCAUAUGCUGCAGGUGCAGCUUUAAAUAAAGUGUUGUGUUACAAAGCCACCUUCCUCAAAAAAAAUAAUAUUCUGGAGGUGCUUUGUGGCUCAGCAGAUUAAGGAUCUUGUCUCCGCGAGAAUGUGGGUUCAACCCCUGGCCUCAUUCAGUGGAUUAAGGAUCUGGUGUUGCCACAAGCUGCAGUGUAUCUUGGAUCCAAUGUUGGCAUGGCUGUGGCAGAGGUCUGCUGCUGCAGCUCCAAUUCGAUCACUAGCCUGGGAACUUCCAUGUGCUGCAGGUGCAGCUGUAAAUAGAAAAAAAAUUAAAUAAAUGAUGAUAUUGCAUGUCUGUGCUAAUUCUAUCCACAGGAUUGUUGAAGGAUUUUAUAAGAAAACAUCUAGUGCUAACUACAUACCAAUACCCUCCUAGGCACAUGACAUGUGUUUGUUCCAUUAAUUAAUUAACAGUUUUCUCAGCCAGCACAAAUGAUCAGUGUGCCUUGAGUAAUUACUCACCGACCUCCUCCUCCUCUCUAUCAGCAACCAUUGGGUCUCCAACACAUAUCAACUGUAAAACAGGACUUACAGUAUGAUCCUAUUUGUUUUCAGGAACGUCAUAGGUAAUAAUAUUAGGACACUAGAGAAAGGACACCAAGAUGCUAUUAGUUGUUACAAUGGGUGAUAGAUUUGGGGUGAUUGUAUUCCUUCUAUUGACCUAUGUUCUCUAAAUCUUUGUAAAAACUAGACAUAAGGAAAAAACACACUAAAAAUGUUCCUACAAAAAAAAAGGCAAAAAGCAGAAACAAACAAACAAAAAAAACACCCUACUAAAUCUGCUGACUUAGAUCUCACUUCCCUCCCUGUAUCUCAGUGGUCCCAAGCUGCCACCUGGCUCUGUUUUUACUAUACCCACAGCUCAUCCAGGGCUGACACCAAGGCAGAAAUUGAGAAGGAAGAAGCUCUGGGAACAAGGGGCAGGAAAGCAUUUUCCAAGUCAGCUCUCCUAGCCCUGUGUCACUUCUGGACUCAGGAUCCCCCUAUAGGGUGGGAACAGCAGCCUCACCCCGACCCCGGCCCCACCUUUGGAGAAACCACCACCCUAUCCUGAUCUCACCCCUCCCCACUGCCCUUACUGCUGCUGAUCUGGGUAAACAGAUGCAAUGUCAAAGGCAGGCCUGUCCCUUGGCCAACCCCAUAUUUGUGGUUAAGGACAUAUGGUUUCAAAGGUCAAACUUUUCUGGAGUUCAGCACAUUUCUGAUCUUUUCCAGCUCAGAAGAGUGAGAGCUAGAGACCAAUGUAUCAGCCAGGAGUGGCUACUGCUCCACCCACCCUCAGCAAUAAAUUCUCCCCAGCAUAAUGUGAACCACUGAAGCAAUUUCCUGAUGCUUGGAGGUUUAUUCAGAAUGCAGGAUCAUAAACAGACCCAGGAGGCACCCGUUCACCCUAUGAGGGAUUUCAAAGUGACUCACCCCAGAGCCUCAGCCAUUCCCAGAAAUACAGCCUCACUCUUUGAAGAUGCAUUUUUGUCCACAUUUAGGGAAACAGUUGUGGCUGGUUAUUCCCAGGACUUCUUGGACCUUGCAGAGAAAGAUCAUUUGGGGUGAACUGCCCCCAGCUUUCCCUGAUUGAGCAGCCCACCCAGAGCCAGGCUGCAGCCAGCUCAGGCAGGAACUCUGUAAUGGCCAGGGAUGCCGCAAGCAGGGCAGAAUACCCCAUCUCUGCCUGUUUCAGGAGCACCACCUAGUGAAAAAUGGUGCCACCUUUUGUAGCACUGUUCUUCCAUUCUAGAAUUGAGGUCAGGUGACAGGAGUGAAUGCGCUUACUAUAGCGGUAGACUCUAUCGUCCAAACAGGACAUUUUAGAGAAUGAAAGGGGGCACUAUUAAUAGCUACACCAGGAUAAGAGAUGUUAGGAACAUCUCAGACCCACCAGGUGGGGUGGUCAUCCAGAAAACAUCUCCCACUUCCAUGGACAGACUAGGAAUCUGCUGCUAGGGUGAUGGCCUCUUCCUCCUCAGAACAUGUGCCACUGAAGAAAGUCUACUUUCAAAUCCAACCAAGGCCUCCUUUGACAAGCCCCCUAGCAUCCUAGGGAACAGAGAAGAAACUAUCACAGAAACCACAGAUAUGCGGCAGGGCCCUUAUCUGUCUGGUUCACCAAGACAGUGUUUGGCAGCUAGGAGGUACUCAAUAAAUCCUUUCUGAAUGAAUGGACAAAUGUAUGCCUGAGCAGAGGUUCUAAAAAUAUCAGGGAACUUCAGGAAACCAGAGAUAUACUUGGAAACCCUAGGUAACACUGUCACCUAAAUGAAGUAACGGUGUAGGUUUGAACUCGUUGGAAGUUCCCUGACAGUCUAGUGGUAAGGAUUCAGAGCUUUCACUGCUACAUUAUGGGUCCAAUCCUUCAUCUGGGAACUGAGAUCCCACAUCAAGCCGCUGCACACCAUGACCAAAAAAAAAUUUUUAAUUUUUUUAAAAAAAUCUGGCAUUGCAUAGAC
rnacentral:lncRNA from 1 species